rnacentral:rRNA from 1 species
AGAAGUAAGCAAGGGCAAACGGAGGAUGCCUUGGCUCUCGGAGGCGACGAAGGACGUGAUAAGCUGCGAAAAGCUACGGGGAGGUGCAAAUAACCAUUGAUCCGUGGAUAUCCGAAUGGGGCAACCCGUUGAGUUGAAGACUCAACAUUCUUUAAUAAGAAGGCGAACGUGGGGAACUGAAACAUCUCAUUACCCAUAGGAGGAGAAAAUAACAAUGAUUUCGCAAGUAGUGGCGAGCGAACGCGAAAGAGCCCAAACCUAUGUUGUUUAGGCGAUAUAGGGGUUGUAGGACUGCGAUAUAAGAUGAUGAAUUGAAUCAGAAUCGUAAUGGAAAAUUGAGCGAGACAAGGUGAAAGCCCUGUAUGAGUAAGAUUCGUCAUUUUUAGCGGUAUCCUGAGUAGCGCGGGACACGAGAAAUCCUGUGUGAAUCAGCGGGGACCAUCCCGUAAGGCUAAAUACUCCCGAGAGACCGAUAGUGGACAAGUACCGUGAGGGAAAGGUGAAAAGAACCUCGAACAGAGGAGUGAAAUAGAACCUGAAACCGUUUGCUUACAAGCGGUCGGAGCACUUUUAAGGUGUGACGGCGUGCCUUUUGCAUAAUGAACCUACGAGUUACUGUCACCAGCGAGAUUAAGUGUUUUAGGCACGCAGUCGAAGGGAAACCGAGUCUUAACAGGGCGCAUAGUUGGUGGUAGUAGACGCGAAACCAAGUGAUCUACCCUUGAGCAGGUUGAAGUUGCCGUAACAGGUAAUGGAGGACCGAACCAGUUGACGUUGAAAAGUCUUUGGAUGACUUGAGGGUAGGGGUGAAAGGCUAAUCAAACUUGGAGAUAGCUCGUACUCCCCGAAAUGCAUUUAGGUGCAGCCUGUGGAGUUUCUUGUGUGAGGUAGAGCGACUGAUUGGAUGCGAGGCUUUCACCGGCUAUCAAGUCCAGACAAACUCCGAAUGCAUACAAGUUAGAUCCAUGGAGUGAGGGCAUGGGUGCUAAGGUCCAUGUCCGAGAGGAGAAGAAUCCAGACCAUCGGCUAAGGUCCCGAAAUAAUAGCUAAGUUGACCAAACGAAGUCAGAGUGCUAAGACAGCUAGGAUGUUGGCUUGGAAGCAGCCAUUCAUUUAAAGAGUGCGUAACAGCUCACUAGUCGAGCGGUUUGGCGUGGAUAAUAAUCGGGCAUAAGCUAUUUACCGAAGCUGUGGAAUAUAAUAUAUUGGUAGGGGGGCAUUCCAUAUUCGUCGAAGAUAGAGGGUUACCUUUAUUGGAGGGUAUGGAAAAGCAAAUGUAGGUAUAAGUAACGAUAAGGAGGGCGCGAACCCCUCCCGCCGGAAGACUGAGGAUUCCUGAACAACGUUAAUCGGUUCAGGGUUAGUCGGGACCUAAGGAAUAGCCGAAAGGCGCAUCUGAUGGAAGAACAGGUUAAUAAUCCUGUACUGGCGUAUGGAGCGAAGUGGGGACGGAGAAGUGAAAGUCCUGCGUACUGACGGAAUAGUACGUUGAAGGGUGUAGGUGUAGAUAUUCGUAGGCAAAUCCGCGGAUAGAGCCGAACCUGAAAGUACCGAGCGUCUUCGGACAAUCGGAUAUGGAUGUAAUCAGACUCCCUAGAAAAACCGCUAAGCAUAUUCAUACGGCACCCGUACCAUAAACGGACACACGUGGUCAAGUAUAGAGUAUUAAGGCGCUCGAGUGAUCCGCGGCUAAGGAACUAGGCAAAAUAGUCCUGUAACUUCGGAAAAAGGGACACCUACCCAGUGAUGGGAGGUCGCAGAAGAAUGGCCCAGGCGACUGUUUAACAAAAACAUAGGGCUUUGCCAAAUCGCAAGAUGAAGUAUAAGGCCUGACACCUGCCCGGUGCUGGAAGGUUAAGAGGAGAUGUCAUCGCAAGAGAAGCAUUGAAUUGAAGCCCCAGUAAACGGCGGCCGUAACUAUAACGGUCCUAAGGUAGCGAAAUUCCUUGUCGGGUAAGUUCCGACCUGCACGAAUGGUGUAACGAU